UAUUCUGUUUCACCUCAGUCCUUCCUCAUAAUUUUUUUAUUUACUCCUUCCAUUUGCAAAAAAGAUGAUUGAAAUGAUUAUGUUGACAAACACUGAAAUAACGGACAGCUCAACAUGUGGCCCACCUGAUUCAAGGUAAGAGAAAUAUUACCCCCUUAUAGAUGUAAAGUGGAGGGAAAAGCAGAGGAUUAAAGGGAUGGUUUACUGUUUAUUUUUGGUCUCUGGAGAAUGAACCCAGCGGAACAUUUGGACGGGGAGGAGCAUUCUUUCCAUGGACGCACCAUCCACCACAGUUAAAGCGGCCACCAUUUAAAGAUAUAGACCCCACUAUGAGAGGGCUGUUGAUGCAGGCAAAUCUCCCACAGGACGACCUGAAAGACAAAGACAUUGCUGAGACUGUUGACUGCAUCAUCAAAAAAUUUGGAGGGACCAAAGGCUGCGCAGAAAGAGUUGAGGAACAAAGGUACUUCAUCUUAAAAAUGUUGUGCAGUGUAUGGUUCGUUUAUCUUAUUUUGUUUUGUUUUGUCGUUUUUUUUUUUCAUUUUUAUUUUAAGGUAGCAUUUUGGCAUGUUUGACGGGAACAGUCUCUCAGACAUUGCCAAGAGCUGCAGGGGCAUCCAUCUCCAUUGCCCCGAAAAAAGGGCCUUUGCCACCGGUGUGAUGGUUGGGUACCCUUUUGACACAGUAAAGGUGUGUGGUUACUACAAGGGCAUGACGAUGACCUACAGGAAUUCCCUCCGGUAUCUCUGUAAAUUAAUGCAUGGGGAUCCUGAGGCCCGGCCCGCCAAGUGUGACAUCUUCCUCUCAGGCCUGACUGGAGGAGUUGCACAGGUUUUACUGGUUUCCCCAAAAGACAUGGUGAAAUUGCAUCUCCACAGGCCACAGAGAGAACAGACCAGAGUCAGAUUCCUCCUCCUCCACCCGCUCCAGUUCCAGUUGUUCCAGAGAGGAUCAGAAAGUGUGCAAGUUUCAAACAUUAUGAGUUGGACUCCUCAGCAGAUCCAGAAAGAGUUUACCUCAUCCUGACUGCAUUGAGAGAAGUAUUCACUGAAAAGCAGCUGCUCCAGCAAAGCACGAGUACAGAUGAAAGUCAAAUGGAGCCAGAUACUAACAGGGAUGUGGACCCUUA